GGCUGCUCCAAGUGCAGUGGUGUUUACAACUAAUUGAUCACAACCAGUUACAGAUUUCUUUGUUCCUUCUCCACUCCCACUGCUUCACUUGACUUGCCUAAA
ensembl:Y_RNA Y_RNA Y RNA